UUCAUUUCGCCUCUCUCUCAAGUCUCGAUGCCUCUGUCCGUCUGUCAUACGACUCAUAUCCAGCAACCCAGACCUAGGAACUUUCCUUGUCCGCCUCUCUCAAACCCUCAUACGAUUGCUGACCUUUCUCGACGGUGGUUGAAGUAGAGGGAUAAUGAGUUUAGAAAAUAAUUUAGAGGUGAAGUUGGAAUCCUCUGGGAAGAACCCAUGGCCAUGAUAAACGAAGAUGAUGAUGUAGUGGAGCUCGAUGGAGACGAGAUCAACGACACUGCAAUAGGAACUCACACAUGGACAUCGAAAGGAAAGCAAAAGAGAAGGCUAACCUCACCCGUGUGACACUUUUAUGAAUAGUUGACAGAAAAGACCAUUGAUGGUAAGACUCAUUGUAAGUGCAAUAAGUGUGGCUCGCUUUUUGUUUGUGAUAGUCAAUAUGGGAUAGGAAAUCUGAAAAGGCAUAGUGGAAGAUGCAUUCGUAAGGAUACACGAGAUGUUGGUUAGAUGCUCAUGAACCAUGAUAUUUCUUUGAAAAAUGCUACAUUUGAUCCUGAAGGUUUUUGUGAAUUGUUGAUUGCCAUUAUUAUGACCUGCCUCUCGUCUUUGUGGAGUAUGCUGGAAUUAUAGCAAUA